AUGGUGGCCUUCAGACAGACCUGCUCAAAUUCCUGCAUUUUGGAAUGGGCUGCUUUGAGGAGGUUUUGUGUCACAAAAGAAUCCCAAGAAGGGGAAAAAAUAAAUAGUUUCUUGCUCUGGCCUGGCAAUUGCAAGCUUGGUGUUUCCUGCUCUCUACACACGGAAUCCUUGCCUCUGGCUAAGAUUAAAAGCGUGAAACUGCAUGGGGAAACACAAGAAGGCUUGUCUCUGCAGACAGGCAAAGGUGAGGGCAUGAAGAUGUAUAACUGUCCCAGGUGGGAGAAGAGUACAGUUUACCCCCUCAGGAUUUGA
ensembl:lncRNA